rnacentral:rRNA from 1 species
UGGGGAAUCUUCCGCAAUGGGCGAAAGCCUGACGGAGCAACGCCGCGUGAGGGAAGAAGGCCUUCGGGUUGUAAACCUCUGUUUUCAGGGAAGAAGUCAGUGACGGUACCUGAAGAGUAAGCUCCGGCUAACUACGUGCCAGCAGCCGCGGUAAUACGUAGGGAGCAAGCGUUGUCCAGAUUUACUGGGCGUAAAGGGCGCGUAGGUGGUGCAUUAAGUUAGAGGUGAAAGCCCGGGGCUCAACCCCGUGAUUGCCUCUGAUACUGGUGGACUUGAGUGCAGGAGAGGGGAGCAGAAUUCCCAGUGUAGCGGUGAAAUGCGUAGAUAUUGGGAGGAAUACCAGUGGCGAAGGCGGCUCUCUGGACUGUAACUGACACUGAGGCGCGAAAGCGUGGGUAGCGAACAGGAUUAGAUACCCUGGUAGUCCACGCCGUAAACGAUGAGUGCUARGUGUUGCGGGUAUCGACCCCUGCAGUGCCGCAGUAAACACAAUAAGUAUCCCGCCUGGGGAGUACGGCCGCAAGGUUGA